rnacentral:rRNA from 1 species
CACCGGCGGCUCGAGUGGUGGCCACUUUUAUUUGGUCUAAAGCGUCCGUAGCCGGCUUGGCAAGUCCCCUGGGAAAUCUGGCGGCUUAACCGUCAGGCGUCCAGAGGAUACUGCCAGGCUUGGGACCGGGAGAGGUGAGAGGUACCUCAGGGGUAGGGGUGAAAUCUUGUGAUCCCUGAGGGACCACCAGUGGCGAAGGCGUCUCACUAGAACGGGUCCGACGGUCAGGGACGAAAGCUGGGGGCACGAACCGG